CCUCUCUUGGAUGUGAUGCUGGUCGCCGAACCCAUUUCCUCUGUUUCUCUGACGCUCGUACCAAAGCCGUGGAGGAGCAAAAUUGCUCAGCCGUGUGCUGGGGUUGCUGCCAAGUGCAGCCAUGUGGGCGAGGGUGCCGCUGAGCUGCUGACUCGAUCGUUUCGGUAAAGGGUUAUCCUCAGCCUUUCCGCCCAUGCAGCCCCCGACUGGGGACCGAGCAGAGACGGCGACCAGUUGACAAGGCCCAGUGCUCCGGUGGCGGGCUGGCCCCGUGAGAGAGAUGUGUGAAGGAAUCUGGCAACAGAGAUUUCCGAUUCCACCCUGACGCUUCCUAGGGGCGUGAUCUUUCAUGCACAUGGUCAUCAGCCAUGUUAGGCACUGGGGACACAGUGAUGAAGACACAGUCCAGGCCUUGAACGGGUCCACAGCCUCUUUGGAGGAUGGUGAGAUAUGCUCUUGGAAGUUAGGAACUGAAGAAUGAGCAGCAGUUUACCAGGUGGAGCAGGUUGGGGGAAACUGGACUGGGAAGACGUGAAGAUUCUAACUGGCCAAGGGACCUAGUGUUGUCAGAAUUCCGUUCUUGAUUUUCUGGUCACAGAGGAGGCAGAUAACAUGGCAUUACUACCUGGGGCUUCAGUCCCAAUGCCCACCAGCCGUAGAAUGCCCGGAAACGCUGCCUCUAAACUAUGGCGUUCUUCUCUCCUUUGACACGGCUCAGCAGCCUUGAGCAAAAUCAGACCUAUUUUCACCCCAAAGCCCAAACCCCAAACCCCAGUUGCAGCUCUUACAACUCCCAUUUGGUCAAAUGCCUUGCCCAACAGCCCUAGAAGAAAAGGAGCAGGCGAGCUGUUUAAUCCAGUAACCAAAGGAACCUUCCGAGGCUGCCUUGCAGGCCAAGAAGAAACAGGCGAGAGGGCCAGGUCGGGCCCUGGGCUGCCUCACCUUGCCAGUUAAGGGGUGCAAAAGAAAGGGCGGACCACGUCCAUGUGUGCUGUCAUCUUCAUCUCUGAAAAUUUCCAUCCUCCAGCAAUCGUCAGGAAGAGAAAUGAGCAUGAUGGGUUUAGGAAACCGCAAGUUUAAAAGGGCUGGAGUGCAGCCUGGGUGAUGAGUAGAAAGUUAAGAGGAGGCCAGAAGACCAUGAAGAGUCUCGAAUGCCACGUUGAGGCAUUUGAACCUAACGCAGCUUGGUUUGCAAAUUUUGAGGGGGCAGGAGGUAGAGAGACGACAGAGAUGAUUAGAAAAUCCUGAAUGAGUCCUUUCCUGAAAAAUUGUUGCACAACAAUAGACUUCUAAUAGUAUGAAAACCAAAAGAAGAGCAAGAUAGUCUCGGCUACACCACAGAAGAAUACGGUGCAGCCUGUGCGACUGAAGCCCUCCAGGGCAUUUCUAAACUAAAGUUGUCACCACAUUCACUGAUGUGACCUUGUCUCCCUGUACCUGAGCUGUCACCCAGGGGCCAGAGAAGAGUAAUCACUGAACUCCUACAAGAAUUCCUGCGGAACAGAAGGACCAGAUGCUGUCCUUCUGGCAUGCUGUUUCUUACCUUGGACCUUUCUGUGGUUCUCAAUCUUGUCCACACAUUGGACUCAAAUUGAAAUGAUGUUGGAAUCCUCCACCACAAUGGAUACAACAGUGGAAAAGAACAAAACAUGCUGCACAAACGUGGAUGAAUCGCUCUGACACAAUGGUGAAGGGAAGAAGCCAGACACAAAAGAGCCCACAUGGACCUGGCAGAUAUUCUGACCUGUUCCUUCAUCCCUCAAGUGUACAGGACAUCAGCGAUCACCUGGAGCUGAG
ensembl:lncRNA